rnacentral:rRNA from 1 species
AGCGCAGACGGUUGAUUAAGUCUGAUGUGAAAGCCCGGAGCUCAACUCCGGAAUGGCAUUGGAAACUGGUUAACUUGAGUGCAGUAGAGGUAAGUGGAACUCCAUGUGUAGCGGUGGAAUGCGUAGAUAUAUGGAAGAACACCAGUGGCGAAGGCGGCUUACUGGACUGUAACUGACGUUGAGGCUCGAAAGUAGUGGGUAGGCAAACA